GUUGUGCCAAUUCUUUAGGAUAUGAAUGUUAUUUUGUUUGGUUUGGCAAAACAAGGUUAUGUCCUUUGCAGAUGGGUAUCAAAGUUAACGUUUGAUAUUAAAUAGAUCACGAGAAAUGCAUAUGUGCAGGCAACCUGAGCUAUAUUUACACAAUACCAUUUUCAACUAGCCAGCUAUACAAAACGCCUAUUAACUGCAUACAUGUUAAUUGAAAUGGGCGUCUCUCAGAAAAGCAAGAUAUGAACGACGCACUGUGAAUAGUCACCAUCGAGGGAAAUAACCUGCAACUGCUAUGCGCAUGCAUGCUUCUAUUGACAUUUUUGUCCAAGCAGCAACCUGCAUAGCAACUGCGAGCACGGACCCCAGCAUAAAGGUUUUGUGAACCAACCAAGUUGCUGCUCGGAGUGACGUUCAGUUUGUUGACAAGUUCAUUAGCUGUAGGUGUCUACGUCACUGGUGCAGAAGCGCAGCGGUUCGGCGGAGGUAGAGACAGCGGUUUCUGCCUAGAUACACCAACUUGAGAAAGAUGGGGGGAGGACAGAGUGUGGAGAGUCCUGUAAAAGAAGAGGAGAAGGAGGAGGGUCCCCCUGCUGAGUUGCGUAUGGAGCCCCCUGUCGCCGCGGACCGUCCCUCAGAGCCUGCGGGGGACCUGCCACAGUGUCGGAUGGGUGGCAGGACUGUGGAUAACAUGUGCUUCAUGAUCUCCUGUACAAACUGGUACUAAUGGUGGGAUCACCCCGCCCUGCCUGGCUGAAGUAUUGAUGCUGGAGAAAUGUAUCUGAUAGUUUAAAGUUAAUAUUUCUUCUUGCUUAUACAGCAAGCGCUCAGUGCAUUUGCAUUCGGCAUGUCCCUCUGAUGAGCUGAAAAAUAUGGCAUUAAGCUCGAAAUGCACGCAGAAAAGGGCAAGAGUAAAAAUUUAUUUUGAAAACUGGUUUAACCGGGGCUCAAUUAUAUUUUGCUUUGUUUAGGUGCACCAGUUUCCAUUUAUCAUUCCAAACUCAAGCACUGGGCCUUAAAAACUAAUGGCUAAUAGCUAAUGUUGCCCUUGACAAUCAUCCAAUGAUUCAGACUCCAAUCUCUUUCAGUCUCUGUUUCAGUGCCCUUAUGUUGGCAUUUGUUUAGUCAUCGAAGGGUGAGCUCUUUACCUCUGGUAGGUAUAGAGGUGCUCAAGCCGUAAAGAUGAAAGAAUGAAAUAACUGCCUGCACAAGAUGGUAAUUAUCCUGUUAUUUUAUUUGUUGUUGUGUUCAUUGUAUGGUAGUGUCAAGAAAAGCACUUGGAAACUACAAUCAUUGGCUAAAAUUACAAUCUCAAUAGUAUCCCGUAUCGUCCCUUUGAGAUAAUGGGAUAGUCCUUUUUAGUGCCCUGACAUUGAGUUUAAUUGGAAAGUGUUGUGUGAAAAAUAAUAGGGUCCAGCUCAAUGUGAAAGUGCACAUUUAGGUUUUUGAUAUAGUGGGUACAAAUUACCUAUAUCCAGUGAAUUUAUUCAUCCACCAGUUCAUUUUCUGCUAAACCAAAUUCUGCCAAACCAAAUCUAUGCACCAUUAAUGUGUUGGAAACUCUGAUGCUAAUAUGACCAUGUGAUUUAAUGUUGCUGCUAUACAUUGAUAAUGAAAGUCAAUGCCAAUAGUGUAUUGCCAUAAUAUAACUGAACAAGAAUACAGUUUUUAUUUCUUCUUUUUAUUGACAUUUCUUUUUUUUUUUUUAAAUACAACAUGGUGAUAUUGUUAGAUACACAGUGUAGAACUGUUAAACAAAAGAGAAAAGUAAAAAGCAAUACCUUUAUCCAAUAAGUAUGGUUAAUAAUUAGAAUUAAAAAGUUACUUUUUUAUAAAGCUUGAAUAACAUUUUAAAACAGAAAACCAUGGACCAUUUUUGAGUUUUAUAUUUUUUUUUAACAAAGGUGAUUAAAAAUCGCAGUGAAAUGAAAACCUUGAAGGAAAAAAAACAGAAAAACAUCACUGAAUGUGUUGUUCUCUAUUAUUUACAUGAUCUUCAUCAUGGGGGAUGAUAUGUUAACCUUGAACUGUGGAGAAGACUAUUUUUCUAAUGGCUAGAAAAUAAUAUGCAGAAUCCUUUAUUCUCACUGUGCACUAAAUCCUCAUUUUAUUCUCCAUACAUUUUAACAUUUGGGGCUAUUGGUUAUGUCUCAAAAUGAUGAUUUGUUUAUUUAUUUGUUUUCGGUUCACUUUUUUUUCUUUGUGAUAUUUUACAUGUUGGGAGAUAUUUGCUUGUAGUGCAUGUUGAUGUAUUUGGCUUGUUCAAUUUUGUGAUCAUAGGAAAUAUAAUGAUAUUGGCUGAGUGAUAGAGUG